rnacentral:rRNA from 1 species
AAGAGCCGCGGUAUAUUGACCGUGCAAAGGUAGCAUAAUCAUUAGGGGUUUAAUUGGAACCUAGUAUGAAUGGUCGGACAAAGAAAAAACUGUCUUUGUAAGUUAAAUUGAAGUUUACUUUUAAGUGAAAAGGCUUAAAUAAAUCAAAGGGACGAUAAGACCCUAUAAAUCUUUAUAAAUAAUUUAAAUUUAAUUAAUUUAAAACUAUAAAAGUUAAGUGCGAUUAUUUUAUUUUGUUGGGGUGAUGAGAGCAUAAAUAUUGCUAACUGCUUAAAAAAAAAUCUUAUAUAAAAGAAUAAAAUAUAAAUGAUCCUUUUUAAAGAUUAAAAGACAAAGUUACUUUAGGGAUAACAGCGUUAUUUCUUUUGAGAGUUCAUAUCGAAAAAGAAGAUUGCGACCUCGAUGUUGAAUUAAGAUAUCUAUAUAAUGUAGCCGUUAUAAAAGAGGGUCUGUUCGACCUUUAAAUU